AUUGAACGCUGGCGGCAGGCCUAACACAUGCAAGUCGAGCGGUAGCACAGAGAGCUUGCUCUCGGGUGACGAGCGGCGGACGGGUGAGUAAUGUCUGGGAAACUGCCUGAUGGAGGGGGAUAACUACUGGAAACGGUAGCUAAUACCGCAUAAUGUCGCAAGACCAAAGUGGGGGACCUUCGGGCCUCAUGCCAUCAGAUGUGCCCAGAUGGGAUUAGCUAGUAGGUGGGGUAACGGCUCACCUAGGCGACGAUCCCUAGCUGGUCUGAGAGGAUGACCAGCCACACUGGAACUGAGACACGGUCCAGACUCCUACGGGAGGCAGCAGUGGGGAAUAUUGCACAAUGGGCGCAAGCCUGAUGCAGCCAUGCCGCGUGUGUGAAGAAGGCCUUCGGGUUGUAAAGCACUUUCAGCGGGGAGGAAGGCGGUAAGGUUAAUAACCUUGUCGAUUGACGUUACCCGCAGAAGAAGCACCGGCUAACUCCGUGCCAGCAGCCGCGGUAAUACGGAGGGUGCAAGCGUUAAUCGGAAUUACUGGGCGUAAAGCGCACGCAGGCGGUCUGUCAAGUCGGAUGUGAAAUCCCCGGGCUCAACCUGGGAACUGCAUUCGAAACUGGCAGGCUAGAGUCUUGUAGAGGGGGGUAGAAUUCCAGGUGUAGCGGUGAAAUGCGUAGAGAUCUGGAGGAAUACCGGUGGCGAAGGCGGCCCCCUGGACAAAGACUGACGCUCAGGUGCGAAAGCGUGGGGAGCAAACAGGAUUAGAUACCCUGGUAGUCCACGCCGUAAACGAUGUCGAUUUGGAGGUUGUGCCCUUGAGGCGUGGCUUCCGGAGCUAACGCGUUAAAUCGACCGCCUGGGGAGUACGGCCGCAAGGUUAAAACUCAAAUGAAUUGACGGGGGCCCGCACAAGCGGUGGAGCAUGUGGUUUAAUUCGAUGCAACGCGAAGAACCUUACCUGGUCUUGACAUCCACAGAACUUUCCAGAGAUGGAUUGGUGCCUUCGGGAACUGUGAGACAGGUGCUGCAUGGCUGUCGUCAGCUCGUGUUGUGAAAUGUUGGGUUAAGUCCCGCAACGAGCGCAACCCUUAUCCUUUGUUGCCAGCGGUUAGGCCGGGAACUCAAAGGAGACUGCCAGUGAUAAACUGGAGGAAGGUGGGGAUGACGUCAAGUCAUCAUGGCCCUUACGACCAGGGCUACACACGUGCUACAAUGGCAUAUACAAAGAGAAGCGACCUCGCGAGAGCAAGCGGACCUCAUAAAGUAUGUCGUAGUCCGGAUUGGAGUCUGCAACUCGACUCCAUGAAGUCGGAAUCGCUAGUAAUCGUAGAUCAGAAUGCUACGGUGAAUACGUUCCCGGGCCUUGUACACACCGCCCGUCACACCAUGGGAGUGGGUUGCAAAAGAAGUAGGUAGCUUAACCUUCGGGAGGGCGCUUACCACUUUGUGAUUCAUGACUGGGGUGA
rnacentral:rRNA from 1 species